UACGUAGGCAGCAAGCGUUGUUCGGAGUUACUGGGCGUAAAGGGUGCGUAGGCGGUCCUAUAAGUAUGGUGUGAAAUCUCCCGGCUUAACUGGGAGGGUGCGCUAUAGACUGUGGGACUAGAGUGUGGGAGAGGAAAGUGGAAUUCCUGGUGUAGCGGUGAAGUGCGUAGAUAUCAGGAGGAACACCGGUGGUGUAAACGGCUUUCUGGACAAUAACUGACGCUGAGGCGCGAAAGCGUGGGGAGCAAACAGG
rnacentral:rRNA from 1 species